rnacentral:rRNA from 1 species
GAUGAACGCUGGCGGCGUGCCUAAUACAUGCAAGUCGAGCGAAGCGGGGCCGGGUGAGAAAAACGUGUAUAAACUCCUAUAAGACUGGGAUAACUUCGGGAAACCGGAGCUAAACCGGAAGCUUAACGAUUGAUCCGCGCUGCAUUAGCUAGUUGGGAAGGUCACGGCUUACCAAGGCAACGAUGCAUAGGCGACCUGAGAGGGUGACCCGCCACACUGGGACUGAGACACGGUCCAGACUCCUACGGGAGGCAGCAGUAGGGAAUUUUCCGCAAUGGGCGAAAGCCUGACGGAGCAACGCCGCGUUAUUGAUGAAGGUCUUCGGAUCGUAAAACUCUGUUAUUUGGGAAGCGGUACCUAAUCAGAAAGCCACGGCUAACUACGUGCCAGCCGCCGCGGUAAUAC